AUCUCUCUCUCUAUCUCUCUCUCUCUCUCUAUGCCUGGGCGGUGGAGCUCUCUCUCUCUCUUCUUUUCCGCCGUUCCUCGCGCGCCACCUCCUUCGGCAGCGAAUCGCCGUCGCAUCGCCUUCUCCAGCUGCAACGUAGAAUCGCAGGUGGUGGCUGGUAUGAAUUACAGGCUCGUGAUCUCCGCCAAGGAUGGCGCCGCAGCCGCCCCAAAACCUAUACCG
rnacentral:lncRNA from 1 species